rnacentral:rRNA from 1 species
CCACCACCAAAGCAUUCUCUGGUGUUGAAGGCCCUGCAAAGCAGCAUCGCGGUGGCGGAGCGUCGUUUGCGACGCCCAACACACAAAACAAGCGGUGAAUGCUUUGGGGUGGGGUGACUGCGUACCUUUUGUAUAAUGGGUCAGCGACUUAUAUUCUGUAGCAAGGUUAACCGUAUAGGGGAGCCGGAGGGAAACCGAGUCUUAACCGGGCGUUAAGUUGCAGGGUAUAGACCCGAAACCCGGUGAUCUAGCCAUGGGCAGGUUGAAGGUUGGGUAACACUAACUGGAGGACCGAACCGACUAAUGUUGAAAAAUUAGCGGAUGACCUGUGGCUGGGGGUGAAAGGCCAAUCAAACCGGGAGAUAGCUGGUUCUCCCCGAAAGCUAUUUAGGUAGCGCCUCGUGAACUCAUCUCCGGGGGUAGAGCACUGUUUCGGCUAGGGGGCCAUCCCGGCUUACCAACCCGAUGCAAACUGCGAAUACCGGAGAAUGUUAUCACGGGAGACACACGGCGGGUGCUAACGUCCGUCGUGAAGAGGGAAACAACCCAGACCGCCAGCUAAGGUCCCAAAGUCAUGGUUAAGUGGGAAACGAUGUGGGAAGGCCCAGACAGCCAGGAUGUUGGCUUAGAAGCAGCCAUCAUUUAAAGAAAGCGUAAUAGCUCACUGGUCGAGUCGGCCUGCGCGGAAGAUGUAACGGGGCUAAACCAU